CCCUUAGAUGUUCUGGGCCGCACACGCGCUACACUGAAGGAGGCAGCGUGUACUCCUGGAUCGAAAGAUUUGGGUAACCCGCGAAUCUCCUUCGUGCUAGGGAUUGAGGUUUGCAAUUAUCCUUCAUGAACGAGGAAUUCCCAGUAAGUGCAAGUCAUAAGCUUGCGCUGACUACGUCCCUGCCCUUUGUACACACCGCCCGUCGCUCCUACCGAUGAAUCGUUCGGUGAAGUUCAUGGAGGGGCGGUUGUUUCAGCUGCCGUCGAAGUGAAAUGGACCUGACGAUUUAGAGGAAGGAGAAGUCGUAACA
rnacentral:rRNA from 1 species